rnacentral:lncRNA from 1 species
AAGGAGUUUGAGGCUUUGCAAGCCAAUAACACUUGGUCCAUUGUUCCUCUUCCACCUGGGAAAAAGCCCAUUGGGUGCAAAUGGGUUUAUAAGGUGAUGGCUAUCACAAUAUUAUGGGUGUGUCCCGAUGAGGAAGAAGGCAGCCAUAGGUGAGGGGUCGGCGGCUGUUGCUGCUGUAUUUUCUGGCGAGUUUCAACGGGGGUAAGGGGGCUGGUUGGUCCAGGGGGUGACUGGUCUUGUUGAUGUUGAAGCUCGUAUGAGAGAGAGAAGUGUGAGAAAGACGAGGUUGUUUAGGGCUAUUGCGGCUUAAGGUCUAAGGGAGAUGGGCGAGGGUGGAGCUGACGACCGGAGGGCUGUGUGUGUUUUUCCAGCGAGUAGAGCCGCUGACGUAGGCAGCUUCAGGUGGUGGUCGGCGUGGAGGUCCGGUAGUUCUAAGGUUGAAGAAGGUCUCUUAGGUUUUUUUCAUUGUUCAAGAAUAGAAGCCUCGGUUCUUCUGUUAGGUCUAAAAGUCUAGGGUUCAGCUUGUCUUGUGUAUUCUUGAAGAAGAAAG